UGGGGAAUAUUGGACAAUGGGGGCAACCCUGAUCCAGCAAUGCCGCGUGUGUGAAGAAGGUCUUCGGAUUGUAAAGCACUUUCGACGGGGACGAUGAUGACGGUACCCGUAGAAGAAGCCCCGGCUAACUUCGUGCCAGCAGCCGCGGUAAUACGAAGGGGGCUAGCGUUGCUCGGAAUGACUGGGCGUAAAGGGCGUGUAGGCGGUUUACACAGUCAGAUGUGAAAUCCCCGGGCUUAACCUGGG
rnacentral:rRNA from 1 species